ACCAAUCGGCGCCCGCGCCCGGCGGAAGAGGCGGAGCGAGAAACUCCUUCGACGGCAGCGGAGGCGCCUGCGCACAAAGCGUGAGUCGCUUAGCGAGUUCGGGAAGUUGGUUGGACCUCGCAGCGAGUGUCGUAGUCUCUCGGUUCCGCUGAAAGUCGGCGCUCGUGAACAGUAAAAAUAUUUUUAGGAAAAAGUUAUCUAGGUAAAUGGACGUCACCCACACGUACUGUGUCCCGUGUAACAGUAUUUAGGCACUUAAUGGCGCCGGCAGCCUCCCCCAGCUGGCGUGACCACUUGGAGCGCAGGAGCUAAAUUUCAGCCUGAGGGACUCGCUUGCUCAGCGCAGCUUCUCGGAUAAAAUACGUGACGUAAGAGGAGGAAAAGAGAAGCUUGUGACGUAGCCUUUGAGCGUCUAUGUCUCGGGAACCGAGCCACGCUCUACAGGGAUGCAUUUAAUCCGGACGCAGCCUAAGAGGUGAUCUCCGUUCAGCUUCUGAGAGCUCUGUGAGCAUUAGCAGAGUACGAAGCAGAGCGAGCAGUCUUCUGUCACCUCCUGUCACUGCUCUUGCCGAGCCUUCUGAGGUUCUCAGCACUGCUGCCGUCUGCCAGAGCGCCCAGGCAGCCCACACGGAGUAGCAAGUCCACCGGGAAGCUGUGCUGGUGUGGAGAUUCCCAGCGGCCGCCUGUGAAUUCCUGGUGCUCUGCGGCGAUGCGCUCAGACCUGCCUCUCCAGCCCCGUCCCUCUACACUGAACCAGAGAGCGCCAGAAAGAGCUGCGUCGAACAACCGUGAGUCCCUUGGCAGCUUCGCUAGGAACCGGCCUACAGGCCGCACUGGCGACGUGAGGAUCAGGCCUCAGCCGCUUCCGAGAGCAGGAAAAGCAAUAACCAGGGGUUAACAUAGGUUACCCUUAUUUUUAGUAAGCAAAUAUUGAACUUUUACCCCUACCCUUGUUUCUACAUCGGUCCAUUCAGACUCUGCACCAUCUGGUUGAGCAGGUGCCGCUGUGGAAGAUCUUCGUUUUCGACUACAGAAAAGGGGAAACACACACACACAGAGCAAUUAUUUUGUGUCUAGAACAGAAACAUUGUUAGAAACGGGGAAAUAACCACUCCACUCCUUCAGGUAACGAAGGAGCCGGUUCAUAAGUUACCGUGUUCUGCAAGAAGCAGCAAACUAAGAACACGACAGCCCUUGACGAUCACUCACCCAGUUGGCGAUUCCUGUUUUAAAGUCUCAAUAUCGGUAAACUGCACAGAUUGUCCACCACCUCUUGUUUUGUAAACAUCACCCUGAGGUCAAGAGAAAAGGUCACCAUUACACUUUGAUAUCCCAAGUGCCAAACACACAUUUCAAACUGAACUUAAGACUCUCCAUAAACCAGCAAAGUCCCAUCCGCAGAACCAGAUGGUGCCUCGGACUGCUGGGUCUGUACUACUAAAAAUACUUCAGAAAUUCCCUCUCACUGAACAAAAGUACAGUAUAAUCCAUAAUAUUCUUAAAUGGCAAAACACAAUAUUCCUUUUGGUCUAUAGAAACUACACCAAGGAUCAAGAAAUCUACCAGAAAUUUCUAAAUGUUCAAAGGCAUUGUUCUUUCCUCUGGGUAUACCCCACCCCUCACAUUCAGGUGACACACAGGACAGUCGUGUUUGUAACUCUGGUUAUACUAAGAACCAUCAUCUAAAUUAAAUUUGAUAUGAAAACCUUUUUUUCCCAGUUGCCUUUUAUUUCCCCAAUUACUCAUUGACUCUGCAAUCAAAGAACAUUUUUCUACAGAAGGGAAAGGGCUCUGGGUAGCACAGUAGUGAGAAAUUUUGAUAGGUCACAUUUUCAUGUAGGCUUUUUAAUCUAGAAUUGACAAAUGGUACGAGUUCGUUCAGUUUACUUUGAACGUAGCAGUUACGACGCGAUAAUUACAGCACAAUCAGAUCCUCCCACGGAGGACCCUGAGACUCUAAGCCUCAUUCAGUAGAGGGCAGCUGAUUGAAUCCUAGUUCAGCAGAGUCAUAGCCCGAGCAGUUAGUUUUCUAACAACAAAAACGUAUCAAAACCCAUUUGUCUCUGUUGACACUGCCUGUGGAUCAGCAAAGGAAUAGAAGAGUUAGUGGUUUUUUGUGAAGUUGACUUUUUGUAUGUUUUUCAUCCUGU